rnacentral:rRNA from 1 species
UACGUAGGUGACAAGCGUUGUCCGGAUUUACUGGGCGUAAAGAGCGCGCAGGCGGUCGUUCAAGUCGAGUGUGAAAGCCCCCGGCUCAACUGGGGAGGGUCACUCGAUACUGAUCGACUCGAAGGCAGGAGAGGGAAGUGGAAUUCCCGGUGUAGUGGUGAAAUGCGUAGAUAUCGGGAGGAACACCAGUGGCGAAGGCGACUUCCUGGCCUGUUCUUGACGCUUGAGGCGCGAAAGCUAGGGGAGCAAACGGG